AUGAACGCUGGCGGCGUGCCUAAUACCUGCAAGUCGAGCGAACAGACGAGGAGCUUGCUCCUCUGACGUUAGCGGCGGACGGGUGAGUAACACGUGGAUAACCUACCUAUAAGACUGGGAUAACUUCGGGAAACCGGAGCUAAUACCGGAUAAUAUAUUGAACCGCAUGGUUCAAUAGUGAAAGACGGUUUUGCUGUCACUUAUAGAUGGAUCCGCGCCGCAUUAGCUAGUUGGUAAGGUAACGGCUUACCAAGGCGACGAUGCGUAGCCGACCUGAGAGGGUGAUCGGCCACACUGGAACUGAGACACGGUCCAGACUCCUACGGGAGGCAGCAGUAGGGAAUCUUCCGCAAAGGGCGAAAGCCUGACGGAGCAACGCCGCGUGAGUGAUGAAGGUCUUCGGAUCGUAAAACUCUGUUAUUAGGGAAGAACAAAUGUGUAAGUAACUAUGCACGUCUUGACGGUACCUAAUCAGAAAGCCACGGCUAACUACGUG
rnacentral:rRNA from 1 species